rnacentral:rRNA from 1 species
UAGCUAGUUGGUGGGGUAAGGGCUUACCAAGGCGACGAUCGGUAGCUGGUCUGAGAGGAUGACCAGCCACACUGGAACUGAGACACGGUCCAGACUCCUACGGGAGGCAGCAGUGGGGAAUAUUGGACAAUGGGGGCAACCCUGAUCCAGCAAUGCCGCGUGUGUGAAGGAGGCCUGAGGGUUGUAAAGCACUUUCAGUGGGGAGGAGGGUUGAUAGGUUAAGAGCUGAUUAACUGGACGUUACCCACAGAAGAAGCACCGGCUAACUCCGUGCCAGCAGCCGCGGUAAUACGGAGGGUGCGAGCGUUAAUCGGAAUUACUGGGCGUAAAGGGUGCGUAGGUGGUUGAUUAAGUUAUCUGUGAAAUUCCUGGGCUUAACCUGGGACGGUCAGAUAAUACUGGUUGACUCGAGUAUGGGAGAGGGUAGUGGAACUUCCGGUGUAGCGGUGAAAUGCGUAGAGAUCGGAAGGAACACCAGUGGCGAAGGCGGCUACCUGGCCUAAUACUGACACUGAGGCACGAAAGCGUGGGGAGCAAACAGGAUUAGAUACCCUGGUAGUCCACGCUGUAAACGAUGUCAACUAGCUGUUGGUUAUAUGAAAAUAAUUAGUGGCGC